rnacentral:tRNA from 1 species
GGGUAUGUAGAUUGGUGGUGGAUCCCCUGCCUCGUAAGCAGGAGGCCCUGGGUUCAACCCCCAACACCA